rnacentral:lncRNA from 1 species
CGAUUUCGAUUCUCCGUCGGACGGUGCAUCGCGCCCCGGUUUCUUUCUUUCUCUUUUGGGAGACUCGAUGACCACUCUGGUCUCGUUUCUUGGUGUUAUGGGCAGUGUUGAUAAGGGCAAGCCAGUGGCCUAGCCCUCUUGGGCAUUGAUUGUCGGAGCUAAGGAUGCAUAUCUGAAGUAUGUGAAUAUACCGGAGUCAGCUUUCGUUGAUGGGAUGCUCACUAUUCCGAAAGAAAUUAUGGAGAAAGGUAUGGCUCAGAUGCGUGCAUCGGUUUGUAGCUCAAUUCGUAGGUUCCUUUCCUUAGAUUCAUGUUUUUGCUUUCAUAAUUAAUAGACUAUGGGAUUUGAAGGAGAGGUGAUUCUAUCUAAGCUCUCUGAAGGCUUUUUUUCUUAGUGAGUUCUGAUUGGUCUCUCUUUGGAAAUGGAUGCUGAACAGAGUUUGGCAUAUUCAUCAUAUUUUGUUGAUUUUUCGUUAAUGAAAGUCAAAUAUUGAACUUCUUAAUCUGAAAGUCAAGGAGGUCUUCUGGAUUAGGUUUCAAAAUGUUCCUCCCCAUCCUAUUACUAAGGAAGGGAUUGAAUGGUUGGUAAGUAGUAUUGGUACCCUGUCAAAAAUUAUAUUCGAGAAGGAUUAAAUGUUAAGGUAUGUGUGCUAAUGGGGAAAGAUGUAGUAUGCCUGAGAAUAUUUUCAUAAAUCCGGUAGGUCAAUGCAUUUAUAUUCUUAUGGAUAUGCCUCAAAUCAGAGUGGUGCCUCAGAAGCAAUGGACGCUAAAAUCUUAGACAAUCAUUAUUGAACUUGAAGGUCAAUCUAAAGGAUGUAGUGGUGAGCCUUUUGUGAUAGGUAUGCCUAUUCCUCCCAAAGAAGCUUGUGAGGCUUCGGCUGAAGGGGUAGAGAACACCUUAGUUGAAGCUUCUCUUGAAGUGGAAACUAGUGAGUGUUCUUAGGAGGAUUUGGUAGCUCAAGCUUCUCAACAAGUGGAGGCUGUCAACCUGUACUUUGAAAAGAAGAUGGUACAAAUUGAAGAUGUGAUAAUUUUAGUGGUGCAAAAUGCUUUCGAAGAAAUGGUUGAUGACCUGCAAAGGAGCAAGAAAAAGAAAAAAUAAUUGUAGAAAAUUCAGAUGGUUUCACUACUCUGCGUACCCCGGGUCAAGCUACUCUUAGAGACUUCAUUGAAAAAG